rnacentral:rRNA from 1 species
UACGUAGGUGGCAAGCGUUGUCCGGAUUUAUUGGGUUUAAAGGGUGCGUAGGCGGCUGAUUAAGUCAGUGGUGAAAGGCAGCAGCUUAACUGUUAGCACGGCCAUUGAUACUGGUUAGCUUGAGUACAGUCGAGGUAGGCGGAAUUGAAGGUGUAGCGGUGAAAUGCAUAGAUAUCUUCAAGAACACCUAUUGCGAAGGCAGCUUACUAGGCUGUAACUGACGCUGAUGCACGAAAGCGUGGGGAUCGAACAGG